GCCUCGGUAGCUCAGUCGGCAGAGUGCUUAUUCAGUAAGUAAGUGGUCGGUGGUUCGAUUCCACCCUGGGGCU
rnacentral:tRNA from 1 species